GAUUUGACUAGGCACAGUCGGCGGGACCCAACCGCCUUGACCCCACGGCACGGGCUCCUCCUCUCCUACGCCUCUCGUCCAGGUUCUCCUCCCCCCAAAUCCAACGUGAUUCCUCCGAGCCGCCGCCGAGGCGGCGUAUCCCCGCCAACCCGUGGCUCCGCUCGCCUCCCGGCUGAACACACAAGAGUGCUGGGAAUGGAGAUCCAAUCGUCAGGCCGGUCCAUCGACGUGCUGAUGGAGAAGGUGCUGUCCGUGAACAUCCUCUCCUCGGACUACUUCAAGGAGCUCUACAAGUUCAAGACCUACCACGAGGUCGUCGACGAGAUCUAUAACCAGGUCGACCACGUCGAGCCCUGGAUGACCGGCAACUGCCGCGGGCCCUCCUCCGCCUUCUGCCUCCUCUACAAGUUCUUCACCAUGAAGCUCACCGUCAAGCAGAUGCACGGCCUGCUCAAGCACCCGGACUCCCCAUACAUCAGAGCUAUUGGAUUUCUCUACCUGCGAUAUGUUGCAGAACCAAAAACACUGUGGACUUGGUACGAACCCUACAUCAAGGAUGACGAGGAGUUUUCCCCUGGAUCAAAUGGUAAAAUGACUACAAUGGGCGUUUACGUGCGUGAUCUCCUCCUUGGCCAGGUAUAUCUCUUGAACUUAUUUGACAUUUCUGCCAUACAACAAAACGGUAUUCUAAGCUGCUAUCAGUGUCCUUUAGUGUUACCCAUUUACAUUGAGGAUGGACAUCAUUAACCAUAUUAUUUUCUGAACCUAAAUGCAAUUAGUCUUUCUUGAAUCACUCACCUGUUGAUUUGCCAUACUGAGGGGAAAUUUCAAUUGUGGAGUUGCUUUUAAGAGGAGACAUCAUCUCUUCCGCCAGUAACAUCACUGUUUAAGUACUAUUUCGACAGUCUUCUUCCACGAGUGCCUCUCCCAAUUCUGCGACAGGUCACCAGCCAUCUUGAGAAGCUGAAGCUUCCAACAAAGCAGUCAGGAAUGACAGGGGAUUCCAAUAGGCAUGAAUCAAAUGAUACUGCCCGAAGGCCUCCUUCCGUAAAGGCUUCGUUGUCUGUCUCUUUUGGUCAGCGUGCUCCACACCGUGCAUCCACAAGGGAUUCGUCCCCAGUUCGAAGAACAUUACCUUCCAAACAGGAAAAGGAUAGAAGUUAUGAUGGUGACCGUGCAAGAUCACCACCAAGGAAGCACCGAAGUCGGAGCCGUGAGCGCGAUCAUGAUUCUGAGAGGGACCGUUCAGAUCGUGAUCGUGGCAGGUACAAGGAUAGGGACCAUGAUCGACAUGCCCGUGAUCACAGAGACCGGGACCAUCAUCGGUCAAGUUAUUCAGAUAGGGAUGGUGAGAGGCGAGGCCGUGAAAAGAGGGACAGGGAUUCUGACAGAAGUGGACGUUCAAUCACCCACAGGAGCAGGAGCAGGAGCAGGAGUCCAGUCAGUGGCAGAAUUGACGGUGACAAACAUCGCUCCAGCCCAUUUGGUAAGGUGCCAGAAUCAUCCAACCUGGCAAAGCUGAAGGAUCUAUAUGGUGAUGCAACAAACACAAAUAACGAUUCUGGUGAUGAUAGAGCUCAUGGGGAUUCUGGAACCGAAGAGGUAAUCCGAUUGGGAGGCCAAAGGUGGAGGUGAAUCUGGGCUCAUGAAUUCUUGUUUUUACUAAGAUCAAUAUACUGUGUCAGAAGUGACCCAAGAAUGAUGGGCUGCAUGGCUGUAUCUGUCUUGCCCCAUACAAUUUCCAAGAUUUACAUGGAAGUUUUUUUCUAGCUAUUAUGGUGUUAAUCUUUACAUUUCUUAGCCCAUGAAUGCUGCCAAAUCAUUACGGGCUUAUUUUAGCCAGCACGUGAGUAUGAUGCAAUAAGCAUAGGUGUAUAGAUUUAUAAGGUAACUAAGCCUUGCUGGUUCAAAAUUGCAAAAUGUACGAUAGAUGCUUGUAUGGUUCCUUUUGGGACGGCGCCGAGUUGCCAUGUACGCACACUUGCGAAA